rnacentral:misc_RNA from 1 species
UCUCCGUUGGUGAACCAGCGGAGGGAUCAUUACCGAGUUUAGAACUCUCAAACCUCUGUGAAUGUAUACCUUUAUUGUUGCUUCGGCGGGUCAUUGCCCCGGGGAAAGAGGCAGCCGUCAGGUCCCUGCCCACCCGGAGACAGGCGCCCGUCGGGUGACUCAAACCCUUCUGUAUUUUUUUGUUUACUGUAUACUGUCUGAGUAAAAAUUCAUAAUGAAUCAAAACUUUCAACAACGGAUCUCUUGGUUCUG